GAUGAAGAACGUAGCGAAUUGCGAUAAGUAAUGUGAAUUGCAGAAUUCAGUGAAUCAUCGAAUCUUUGAACGCACAUUGCGCCCAUCAGUAUUCUGUUGGGCAUGCCUGUCCGAGCGUCAUUUCAACCCUCAGGGCCCGUUCGCGGGAACUGGUGUUGGGGAUCGGCCUCCCCCCGGAGGCCGGCCCCGAAAUGCAGUGGCGGCUCUACCGCGAUCUCCUCUGUGUAGUAGCGAUACCUCGCAGCUGGAUAGUGGUGGUGCCACGCCGUAAAAUCCCAACUUUACCAAGGUUGACCUCGGAUCAGGUAGGAAUACCCGCUGAACUUAAGCAUAUCAAUAAGCGGAGGA
rnacentral:misc_RNA from 1 species